rnacentral:lncRNA from 1 species
AGAGAAGAUAAAAUAUAUUAAAGCAUAAGUCUUACAAGAAAAGAUACAAAGAUAUACCAGAACUCUAAUGACUCCUCUAAAGACUCCUCCAGAAGACUCCUCUGGAACCCAAGCGUUGCGCCGCUCUCCCUAACUCUCAACAAGAACUAAUCUAUUACAUUGGAAAGUUUAUCCUUAAUUCUCUAGAGGUGAGAGGUCAUCCAUUCAAGGGACGCCUCUACAUCCCCAUAAUAUGGUGCCCCUAGGGAGGGGAUCUGCCUCUUUAUUUAUAGCCUAGAAAAGCCUCCCACCUCUUUUGGACAGGCGAUGUGGGACUAAUUCUUCCAUUGUUUGCUUUGUUGGGCUAUUAUACAUCAACUUGGGCCUUCCAAUCAUCCCUCAUAUGAGCCCACUCAAGGGAGUAGCUUGGGGCGCCCUUCUUAGGCCUCUAUUAUGCCAUAUGAGCCUCUUCUCACGUCAUGGGCCUUGCUUGGGCAUGGGACUCAUUAGUGCUAAUUCUCCUUUAUUUGUAAAAUUAAUAUCUUUUCACUCCGGACUCCAAAUAUAGCAAAUGAUAUGUCCGUUUCGAUCGACUUGACGAGCCCAUUGUAAU